rnacentral:rRNA from 1 species
UGCGCAGGCGGAACUUUAAGUCAGUGGUGAAAUCUUGCCGCUUAACGGUAAAAUUGCCAUUGAUACUGAAGUUCUUGAAUAUGGUUGAGGUAGGCGGAAUGUGUUGUGUAGCGGUGAAAUGCAUAGAUAUGACACAGAACUCCGAUUGCGAAGGCAGCUUACUAAAUCAUUAUUGACGCUGAGGCACGAAAGCGUGGGGAGCGAACAGGAUUAGAUACCCUGGUAGUCC